CGUAGAUGCUCCUGUAACC
rnacentral:snRNA from 1 species